rnacentral:rRNA from 1 species
GUGAGUAACGCGUAUUGCACCUGNCUUGCACAGAUGGAUAACACUGGGAAACUGGUGCNUAUACCCACAUAAAUCAUANCAGUGCAUCUUGAAAUGAUCCAAGGAGAAAUCCGGUGCAUGAUGGGCCUGCGUCCGAUUAGCUAGUUGGUGAGGUAACGGCUCACCAAUGCGACGAUCGGUAGCCGAACUGAGAUGUUGAUCGUGCACAUUGGGACUGAGACACGGNCCAGACUCCUACGGGAGGCAGCAGUGGGGAAUAUUGCGCAAUGGGGGAAACCCUGACGCAGCAACGCCGCGUGAAGGAAGAAGGGCUUCGGGUUGUAAACUUUUUUGAUUGGGGAAGAAAAAAAUGACGGUACCCAAUGAACAAGCCACGGCUAACUACGUGCCAGCAGCCGCGGUAAUACGUAGGUGGCGAGCGUUGUCCGGAAUUACUGGGUGUAAAGGGCGUGUAGGCGGGAUUGUAAGUCAGAUGUGAAAUUCCAGGGCUUAACUCUGGAGGUGCAUCUGAAACUAUAAUUCUUGAGUGCUGGAGAGGAAAGCGGAAUUCCUAGUGUAGCGGUGAAAUGCGUAGAUAUUAGGAAGAACACCAGUGGCGAAGGCGGCUUUCUUGGACAGUAACUGACGCUGAGGCGCGAAAGCGUGGGGAGCAAACAGGAUUAGAUACCCUGGUAGUCCACGCUGUAAACGAUGGAUACUAGGUGUAGGAAGUAUCGACCCCUUCUGUGCCGGAGUUAACACAAUAAGUAU